GUACGCUGGCGGCACGCCUAACACAUGCAAGUCGAACGAAGUAGCAAUACUUAGUGGCAGACGGGUGAGUAACAUGUAGGUAUCUGCCCUUUGGCCUGGAAUAACACGAGGAAACUUGUGCUAAUACCGGAUAAGUCUUUACGGAGAAAGCUUUAUGCACCAUUGGAUGAGCCUGCACUUGAUUAGUUUGUUGGUGGGGUAAUGGCCUACCAAGACUGUGAUCAAUAGCUGAUUUGAGAGGAUGAUCAGCCACAUUGGGACUGAGACACGGCCCAAACUCCUACGGGAGGCAGCAGUGGGGAAU
rnacentral:rRNA from 1 species